AGUGAACGCCGGCGGUAGGCCUAACACAUGCAAGUCGAACGGCAGCACAGUAAGAGCUUGCUCUUACGGGUGGCGAGUGGCGGACGGGUGAGGAAUACAUCGGAAUCUACUUUUUCGUGGGGGAUAACGUAGGGAAACUUACGCUAAUACCGCAUACGACCUACGGGUGAAAGCAGGGGAUCUUCGGACCUUGCGCGAUUGAAUGAGCCGAUGUCGGAUUAGCUAGUUGGCGGGGUAAAGGCCCACCAAGGCGACGAUCCGUAGCUGGACUGAGAGGAUGAUCAGCCACACUGGAACUGAGACACGGUCCAGACUCCUACGGGAGGCAGCAGUGGGGAAUAUUGGGCAAUGGGCGCAAGCCUGAUCCAGCCAUACCGCGUGGGUGAAGAAGGCCUUCGGGUUGUAAAGCCCUUUUGUUGGGAAAGAACAGCAGCAGGUUGAUACCCCGCUGUUCUGACGGUACCCAAUGAAUAAGCACCGGCUAACUUCGUG
rnacentral:rRNA from 1 species